rnacentral:rRNA from 1 species
UAAAAGAAAUAAAUAUUAAUUCAUUUUUGCUUGGGCACUACGAACACAUGUUUAAAACCCAAAGAACUUGGCGGUACUUUAACCCACUUAGGGGAACCUGUCCUUUAAUUCGAUAAUCCACGACAAUCUUAUUUAUUUUAGAACACUUCAGCUUGUAUACCGUCGUCAUAAGUUAACCUUAAAAAGAAAAAAAGUUAACAACAAAGAUAAAAUUUAAUAAUUUUCUCCUAGGUCAGAUCAAGGUGCAGCUAAUAAAUAAAGAGGAGAUGGGUUACAAUUGAUAAAUUUCAAAUGGAAUUUUUAAAGAAAAUAAAAACGAAAUAGGACUUAAAAGUAAUUUUAUGAUAACAAACAUUAAUGAAUAAGGAAAUAAAGUGUGC